ACCCAGCUGGCUCAGUUGGUAGAGCAUGAGAUUCUUGAUCUCAGGGUUAUGAGUUUAAGCCCCAGGCUGCAUA
rnacentral:tRNA from 1 species